GGGGGGGGGGGGUCCCCGGUUGCAAGGGACUGGGGGCAGGGGCUGCUUACCCCCUGCAGCGCCUCUCAGCUAAAGAAACAGAAUAGGAUUUACACGCCCAGGACCUUGGGUGGGCGGGGCCAGAGCGGGGGUGGGGGCGGGGGGGUUCUGAUUAUUAUAACGGGGGCUGCAGUGGUUGAUUUCCCGGUGAGCUUGGGAAUGGCCAGCUGGGAUGUUACCCAAGACAUACGCAUCCCCCACAACGUGGGCCGCCGGCUCACGGCUGGAAUUUCAAGCACACGCUCCAGUCGUUCCCAGAGUUCGGGUCAUUGGUAUGCUGGGCACUUGGUCGUUGACCUGACGCUGGCUUCUCCCGGCCAGCGCUCCUCCCUGGGACCGAGAGCCGUGAAUACGACCAACACAGACGAGACCUGAUAAAGAGCAGUUAGAAAGACUGAUCUGCCACCACCUUGCUUCCCAGGCCCCCGCUGGGGGCUGAGGCUGCAGGGAAGGUUGCUGGCUGGUUUCCCCACAGUCGUUUUGUGUCCGCUGAAGGCUCCCCUGAAUAUCUCUGGUCGGCCACAAACCGAGGCUGGGGCCCGCAGGGAUCUAAGUCUCCCAUGAUGGGACCGGAAUACAAAUGGAGCUGCGGAUUGAAAGAUCAGGUUAGACGGCUGGGCAGGGAGGGGCUCACACUCAGAGCAGGAACUCCUUUCCAAAGCGCCCGUCUUUCUACGUGUGAAAAUUCAAGUCCCUAACAAGGCUCUGUCUGUUUUCAGUUCCCACCCCUUCUUCCCAGGCCCUCGCCCAAAAACAGGAGAAAGGGAAGCUUUAAAUCGUCACCCUAAAUCCUCUUUUAUCCUUGACCUAAUCUGUCAGGAUUUGUGCCCUGCUCAUGCAGUGGCAUUCUGGUGCCCCAGGCCCCCUCUGGCUCCUCCCAGGGGCCACAAACGUCUCCCCAUUCCCACCCUCCUCCCCCCACAAACAAUUGGAAGGAAAAAGCUCAAUGAUUUUUCCAAAAUGUACGUAAAUAAGGUCAGCAGGAUAAGUUGGACGACCCUGGUUCAACUGAAGCCCCUUCAUCCUCUGAAACUUGGUCACGGUCAGUGCUGAGCUCCCUCCCUCAAGUCCCAGGUGAGAUGGGCUUCUUAGCAGAAGCUGAGUCUACCAAACACAGAGAAUCCACAUCACUGGGGAGAAGUGUGACCUCGAAGCCAUCAACUGGUCCCCAGCCUCAUAAUAGUCACUGGCACUUACUGAGCAGAGACAAAAUGUUCUCUAAACGUCACCCUCCAGAAAACCCCUAGAGAGUGUAACAGCUGGGGAAACUGAGCCUCAGAGAGAUUAAGUAUUGUGCCUAAGAUCACAGGGCAGCCCAUAGUAGAACCAGGAUCAGGUCAUCUGACCCAGAGAACCUGGUUUGUAACCAUUCGGCCAUAGUGUCACAGGUGUGCCUUGGAUCAGCAUGCUGUGACAUCUCGGUUUGGUCACACUCUUUGCCUGGAUCACCACUGAGCCGCCUUCUCCAGCUCUCUUCUUGUAUGUCCUUGCCUUCCCUUCCUUCAGCCGCAGCCGCUGCCCUAAAAGUGUCCCUCCUGGCCUGAAGCCACCAAGUACGCCUCCCUAGUGAGCAUACGCUGCCAUGAGCAUGAGGAAGCGGCCCCGGCUGCACUUCACUCACAGCACCCACCGCGGGGGCUCCUUGUUUUCCGUCCUCUCUCUCUCUGCCUUCCCAAGCUUUUGGCUUGCAUAUCCAGCUUUUCUGCAUGCCUGCUCGAUGACCUGCAGUCAGUGGGAAUCUGCGCUAGUCAUUCAAAGGAGGUCUCAUAAGUUCCAUCCUCCUCCCCCAAGACCCUUGCUAAGAGAUCUGUCCCCAUGACAGGCUCACUGUAGCAUUCUCAGGGCCUCUUGGUCGAGGGGCCCCUGCAGCUCUCGGCAGAGCUGUCAUCUCCAAGGACAUCUGAGCCUGAGUAGCAGCUCAGUAGUCAGCUUAAGCAGGUUCUCCCUCCCACCCCUUUUGUUAAAGUGAAAUAUUGUUGAUGUACAGUGUCGUGAUAGUUUCAGGAAUACAGCAAAGUGAUUCAGUUACACAUGCAUAUAUAUAUGAAUAUUUUAAAUGUCUUUUCCCUUAUAGGUUAUUGUAAAAUAUUGAGUUCCCUGUGCUAUACAGUAGGUCCUUGUUGGCUAUCUGUUUUAUAUACAGUAGUGUGUAUAUGUUAAUCCCAAAUGCCCAGUUUAUCCCUCCCCCUUUCUCCUUUGGUAAAAUCAUAAAUUCUCUAUGUCUCUGGGUCUGUUUCUAUUUUGUGUGUAAGUUCAUUUGCAUAUUUUUUUAUGAUUCCACAUAUAAGUAAGAUCACGUGAUAUUUGUCUUUGUCUGGCUUACUUAACUUGGUAUGAUAAUUUCCAGGUCCGUCCAUGUUUUGUUGUUUGUUUUUGGGUUUUUUUGUUUUGUUUUUUUCUUUUUAGGGCCAUGCGCACGGCAUAUGGAAGCUCCCUGACUAGGAGUCAAAUCGGAGCUACAGCUGCCUGCCUGCACCACAGCCACAUCCACGUGGGAUCCAAGCCUCGUCUGAGACCUACAGCACAGCUCACAGCAAUGCCAGAUCCUUAACCCACUGAUCGAAGCCAGGGAUCAAAACCAAAUCCUCAUGGCCACUAGUCAGAUUUGUUUCCGCUGCGCCACAGCGGGAACUCCCCGGGUCCAUCCGUGCUGCAAGUGGCGUUAUUUCAUUCUCUUUUAUGGCUGAGUAAUAUUCCGCUGUAUAUAUGUACCACAUCUUCUUCAUGCAGUCAUCUGAGAAUGAACAUGUAUGUAGCUUUAAAGUUUUCUCUAGAAAUAUACCAGGGAUGGGACUGCAAGAUCACAUGGUAACUCUAUGUUCAGUUUUUUAAAAAUCCUCCGGAUUCUUCUCCGAAGUGUCUGUACCAAUUGACAUCCCACCAACAGUGCAGGAGGGUUCCUUUGUCUCCACACCCUCUCCAGCAUUUACGUCUUGCCAGCAAAGCAUCCUUGGUGUCCUCACAGGUCAGGGAUCUCAAAGCCCUCAGCGAGGCUGCCUUCCCCCCAGAAAGCGGCUCCUCAGACAGUCCCCUGCGAUCUCUUUUGCCUGCUGGAUGGCCUUCGGGAAGCCACAACUCUGGGGACUCUGGCUUUCCCCAGGUGGGCUGGUGCCUGAGCCAGCUUGCGUGCCUCGCUGCACGGGUGUUCCUGGAGUGGACCUUCCAGGGUCUGGACAGAGGUUUGGCACUGCUCCCCAAAUCAAAGGUGGCACCAGCAUCCUUACAAGAGCCUCUCUUUCUCUCUCUUUCUCUGUUUUUUAAAAUUGGGGGACGAGAAGGGGGCAGGGUGUGGCUCAGGUCCUCCAGGUACCGCAGGCAGCCCUGUCCCCCACCCAAGGCAUGCAGGCUCACGACUGGGUUUAUUUCCCGGGACAGAGAAAAGGUGAGGCAGCCACUGCGACGGGGGAAGUGGCCUUAUCAGAUUAAUUCCUGCCUGGUAAAAAUGCUCAGCCGCCCAGCCUCUGUGAGCAAGGUGACCCAGCCUCCUGUGUACCCAGAGGUUUCCAGGCUGGUGGGUGGUUGUUUUUCCACCAAAACCCUUGGCUAGCUCGGCAUCUCACCCGAGGGCUGUGGUUUGGGGAGUGUUUUGACUUGAAACAUGCAGGCCCCUGGUGGUAUUUGGAGUUGUGAGCUCCUUCUGUGCUAAAAGGAAAAUGAAUGGUCUAUUUAGAAACUGCUAACAAUUCUCAGUAUAAAGAGCAGACAACACUUCUGCUGCUAACAUGCUGGCUUCCUGAGGCUAGUCCCCUGGGGGCUGGCUGUGUGGCAAUCCCGGCCCCUGCUCUGGCUAGUCCAUCUGACGACCCCCUACUAGUAGCGGCAAUGCUUCUAGAAAGAUAUGCCUUUGCCCUGGCUUUUUCUGGGCCUCCCCUCAACCCCUUCCCAGAACACGCUCUUCCAGGGGCCUGUGGGGACUCUGGGCUGUGAGUGAGACCCCCUUUUCCUAAACCAGAUGGACUUUGCUCUGAACAAGGGAGGGAAGGGUGGCCUGAAACAGCUUCUCUUGUGACGUUUUUACCUGUCACACACACACACACACAGAGUUCACCUGAAGGAGGAAACUGCCCUUCCUCUCAAGGAAAAAAUACACUCCAGGGUGUCUCUGUCACCAGAGUGAUUCUUCAUUCUGUUGCAGCCUAAAAUCAAAACAGAAGAGGAGAAUCAUAGCCUUCUAAGCACUCAACCUAAUUGAAAACUGAGCAGUUUAGGAGUUCCCCUUGUGGCUCAGCAGGUUGAGAACCCAAGAUAGUGUCUGUGAGGAUGCAGGUUCAAUCCCUGGCCUCACUCAGUGGGUUAAGGAUCUGGCAUUGCAGCUCCAAUUUGACCCCUAGCCCAGGAACUGCCAUAUAUCCCAAGUGUGGUCAUUAAAAAAAAAACAAAGAAAAAAAAUAAAGAAAAAAGAAACAAAAAAGACCAGUUUACUAAAAUACCAAAGCUCGUUUCAAAGAUUAACCAAAUUAGGAAUGGUGUUCAUUUCAUCUGUCACAAGGAAUUCCUCUAGAGAUACAAGCCAUCCCAGUCAAAAUCCUGAUAGGCUUUUGUGUAGAAAUUUACAAACCAAUUCUAAAGUUUAUAUAGACAUGCAAAGGAUCCAGAACAGCAAAAACAAUUUUGAAAAAGAAGAAUGAAGGUGGAAAACGAACACUACCUGAUUUAAAGACUUACUCAAAAGUAAAGACAAUAUAGAUUCGGACACACGUAGAUGGGCCUAUAAGGGCAGGCAGGUUAAUGCAACAGAAUAAGAGUCCAGAUACAGGCAGGUGUCAAGAUAAUUUAAUGGGGUAAGUGUUGCCUUUUUAAUACAUGAUGUUGAUAUAUGAUUGGACAUUCAUAUCCAUAAAAUGAACUUGACCCUUACUUCAAUCCACACAUGAAAAUUGACUUGCAAUGGGCCAUAGCAGUAAAUGCAAGAAUUAAAAUUAUAAAGCUUCUUGGAAGAGCAAAUAGAAGACAAAAGCUAUGUGACCUUGGAUUGAAUAAAGAUUUUUAGCUGGAACACAAAAAUCUUUCAUCAUAGAAGUAAAAAUUGAUAAAUUAGAUUUCAUCAAAAUUUAAAACACCUGCUCUUCAAAAGACAGAGUUAAGAAAAAUCAGGGAGUUCUCUUUGUGCCUCAGCGGUUGAUGAACCCUACUAGGAACCAUGAGGAUGCAGGUUCGAUCCCUGGCCUCAAUCAUUGGGUUAAGGAUCCAGUGUUGCCUUAGCUGUGGUGUAGGUCGCAGAUGCAGCUCAGAUCCGGAGUUGCUGUGGCUGUGGUGUGGGCCCAAAGCUGUAGCUCUGAAUCGACCCUCCUAGCCUGGGAACCUCCAUGUGCCACAGAUGUGGCCUUAAGAAAAAGGCACAGACUGUGAUAAAAUAUGUGUAAAACAUAUAUGUGAUACAGAUGUAUAUACUUUAUUUAUAUAUUUGAUAAGUAUAUUCAACAUCAUUAGUCAUUAGGGAAAUAAAACCACGAUGAGGGAGUUCCCCUGUGACACAGCAGGUUAAGGAUCCCGCAUUGUCACUGCAGCAGCUCAAGUUGCUGCUAUGGUGCAGGUUCGAUCCCUAGCCUGGAAACUUCCACAGGCUCUGGGCAUGGUCAAAAUAAAAAAAGCACAGUCACUGCCUAUACCUUAGAAGGGCUAAAACGAAAAAAACCAAAACCAAAACAAACCUCCCGAUACCAAAUGCUGGCAAGAGUGUGGAACAACUGGGACUUUCAUACUUAGCCAAUGGGGGUGUGAAAAUGGUACCCGGUUUGCAGUUUUUGAAAAAGCUAAGCAUCCCCUUAUCAUGGCAACCAACAAUCCCAUUCUAAGGUGUUUCUCUAAAAGAAAGGAAAGCGUGUGUCCACAAAAAGCCGUGUAGUCUGUUCACAGAAGCUCUCUUCAUAAUCACUGAAAAGUAGAAAUAGUCAAAUGCCCAUCGGUUGGCAAAUGGUUUGAUAUAUUGUGGUGUAUGUGGUACAAUUUGGUGAUAAAAAGGGGGUUCCCAUUGUGUCUCAGCCGGUUAUGAACCCAUCUAGUAUCCAUGAGGAUGCGGGUUUGAAGCCUCACUCAGUGGGUUAAGGAUCUGGCGUUGCCGUGAGCUGUGGUGUAGGUCGCAGACGUGGCUUGGAUCUGGCAUUGCUGUGGCUGUGGUGUAGACCGGCAGUUGUAGCUCGGAUUCAACCCCUAGCCCACAAGCUUCCAUAUGCCACAGCUGCGGCCCUAAAAAAAAAAAAAAAAAAAAAAAAA
rnacentral:lncRNA from 1 species